rnacentral:rRNA from 1 species
CGUAGGCGGCGCGGUAAGUCGGGUGUGAAAUCUCGGAGCUUAACUCCGAAACUGCAUUCGAUACUGCCGUGCUUGAGGACUGGAGAGGAGACUGGAAUUUACGGUGUAGCGGUGAAAUGCGUAGAUAUCGUAAGGAAGACCAGUGGCGAAGGCGGGUCUCUGGACAGUUCCUGACGCUGAGGCACGAAGGCCAGGGAGGCAAACG